rnacentral:rRNA from 1 species
UUGUGCCAGCAGCUGCGGUUAAACAAAGAAUACAAAUAAAUUUUAUAAAUAUAUAAGUUAAAUUGAAUUUAUUUAAUUAAUAAAAAAAAUUUAGGUGAAAUUUUAUUUUUUUUUAAUUAAUAUAAAAAAUUAUAUUGAAUCUUGAAAAUUUUAUUUUUAAACUAGGAUUAGAUACCCUACUAUUAAAUUAUUUAAAAAUAUAAGAUUAGAGUAGUAAUAGUUAUGGUCUUGAAACUCAAAAAAUUUGGCGGUAUUUUAGUCUAUUCAGAGGAACCUGUAAUGUAAUCGAUAAUCCACGAUGGAUCUUACUUAAUUUUGUAAUUUAAUUUGUAUAUCGCCGUUAUUUGAAAAUUUUAUAAGAAAAAUAAUUUUCUAGAAUUUUUAUUAAAAAAUAAAUCAGGUCAAGGUGCAGUUUAUAAUUAAGUUUUAUAUGGGUUACAAUAAAUUUAUUUAUACGGAUUAAAAAAUGAAAUAUUUUUAAGAAGGUGGAUUUGAUAGUAAAUUUUUAAAGAUAAAAAAAUUGAUUUUAGCUCU